UACGUAGGGUGCGAACGUUAAUCGGAAUCACUGGGCGUAAAGCGCGCGUAGGCGGUUUGCUAAGUGGGAUGUGAAAUCCCCGGGCUAACCUGGGAAUUGCAUUUCAAACUGGCCGACUAGAGUACGGUAGAGGGAGGUAGAAUUUCCUGUGUAGCGGUGAAAUGCGUAGAUAUAGGAAGGAAUACCAGUGGCGAAGGCGGCCUCCUGGAUCGAUACUGACGCUGAGGCGCGAAAGCGUGGGGAGCAAACAGG
rnacentral:rRNA from 1 species